AACUGCCAAUGUAGGAACUACGAUGCGGGAACCCCGAGUGUAUGCACAAUGUGUAUACUGUCCUCAACGGUUCAUUUGUUGAGAAGAAAGUGCUGGGUAAGACGGGUG
rnacentral:rRNA from 1 species